rnacentral:rRNA from 1 species
GGCUCGCAUUCGAAACGGUAUAACUAGAAGGAGUCAGAGGUAAGCAGAACUCUCGGUGUAGGGGUGAAAUCCGUUGAUAUCGAGGGGAAUACCAAAUGCGAAGGCAGCUUACUGGGACUUUCUUGACGCUGAGGCACGAAAGCGUGGGUAGCGAACGGGAUUAGAUACCCCGGUAGUCCACGCCCUAAACGCUGUCUGUUGGCUUUGGGGGGAAUCGACCCCCUCCGAGGCGAAGUUAACACGUUAAACAGACCGCCUGGGUAGUACGAGCGCAAGCUUAAAACUCAAAGGAAUAGACGGGGGCUCGCACAAGCGGUGGAUCAUGUGGCUUAAUUCGUCGAUAAGCGAAAAACCUUACCAAGGCUAGAAAUCAUACUGCACGCUUCGGGAAACCGAAGAAGCCUUCGAGGGUGUAUGACAGGUGAUGCAUGGCCGUCGUCAGUUCGUGGCUUGAGCUGUUCCCUUAAGUGGGGAAACGAACGCAACCCUCGUUGCCUGUUACAAGUGUCAGGCGAGACUGCUCCCUCACGGGAGAGGAAGGUGAGGAUGACGCCAGGUCAGCAUGUCCCUUGAUGCCUUGGGCCGCACACGUGAUACAAUGGGACGUACAACGGGACGCAAUACCGCAAGGUGGAGCAAAUCCUAAUAAAACGUUCCUCAGUUCGGAUUGUGGGCUGCAACUCGCCCACAUGAAGCCGGAAUCGCUAGUAAUCGUGAAUCAGCACGUCACGGUGAUACGUUCCCGAGCAUUGUACUCACCGCCCGUCAAGUCAGGGGAGUCGGGAGUGCCCGAAGUACCACCUCGCGUGUCCUACGGUAACUCGAUAACAAGGACUAAGUCGUCANCAGGUAAC